AUUGAACGCUGGCGGCAUGCCUAACACAUGCAAGUCGAACGGCAGCACGGGGGCAGCCCUGGUCGCGAGUUGCGAACGGGUGAGUAAUACAUCGGAAGGUGCCCGGUCGAGGGGGAUAGCGUAGCGAAAGGUACGCUAAUACCGCAUCCGAUCUGAGGUUGAAAGCGGGGGACCUUCGGUCAUCGCCGGAUUGGAUGGCCCUAGGUCAGAUUAGCGAGUUGGUGGGGUAAAGGCAUACGAAGCCGACGAUCCGUAGCUGGUCUGAGAGGCCGACCAGCCACACUGGGACUGAGACACGGCCCAGACUCCUACGGGAGGCAGCAGUGGGGAAUGUUGGACAAUGGGCGCAAGCCUGAUCCAGCCAUGCCGCGUGCAGGACGAAGGCCUUCGGGUUGUAAAAUGCUUUUAUACGGAAAGAAAAGGCUCUGGCUAAUACCUGGGGGUCAUGACGGUACCGUAAGAAUAAGCACCGGCUAACUACGUG
rnacentral:rRNA from 1 species